GAUUCUGGCCAAGUCCUGGAACCUACUGCAGUCCAUCUGGUGGUUGACAGAUAUGUGGACGGAUUGGCAGGCUGGGACCCAAUCUAUGUUUGCCCUUGUGUUCAGUUUUGAGACCUAGCACCUUUCCUGAUCCUGCUCACAGACCCCCUGCGGCCAAUAGGAAAGAAGUGUUAAUGCAUAUUUGCUUUUGGAGGGCCCAAAGCCAGGCCCAGAGAGUUGUCAAGGGCGGUCAGUGGUGGGUGGAUGGCAGAGUUAACCAAGGAGUUACACACCUGCCUAGACUAAGGACAGGCUGGACCAAGUAGAGAGGGUGGGGCUAAGGGAGCCUGAGAGAUGCUCUGGGGCCUAUCUCAAAAUGAGCACUACAGUCACCCUGUCCCCUGCAGAGAUUGUCUGACCUGGUUUUAGGUCACACCCAACCUUGCCAGCCAAGGAGUCUUUAGAAGCCUGAUAUUGGGAGACCUGUCCUGGGGUCUACAACCCCAGAACUCACUGCAGAAGCCCACGUGGAUUGCUAGUCUAGCUCAGCCAUAUGGGUCCCCAACCCUCACCUCGUGAUAGUCCUGUGAGAAACCGCUGCUGACCCUUUGUUCAUGUUUUCAUCUUUUCCACUAUAAAAGACAUGCUAGCUGGGAAAUAGAGCCCAUCAUACUCAAGAGCGGCAGGAGCCAGGUCCUGGCCCCUGAAGCUUGGCCUCACACACAGAGGCCGGCACCCUGUCAUCAAUUCCCUCAGCUUUUUCUCCGCCUCCACUCCCAGUCCUAGAUUUAGCAGCCAUGUGUGGGUGGGGGCCACUGCAGGGAUACUUACCCACCUACCAGAGAGAUGGCCUGUGGGUGCUGGCCCUUCUGAGGCUGUGGAGGUUGGAGGCUGUGGCAGCCUGGGCAAUCAGGCUGUGGUCCUCCCAUGUUCUUGACUCCUGCUAGUCUGGGCUGCCUCCUGAUUAGGGGUUGGGUGCUCCAGUUCUUCCCUGGGUUGGGGAUUGCCACCCUACUCCCAGCCCAUCCAGGUUCACGCUUAUUCCAAAGCGGAGCACCAGCAGCCUGCCUGCUGCGGGAGUUCUCCGUGUCCAGCCUGAGGGUUGCCUGCCAACCCCUCUGAGAGGUGCCCGGAGGCUGUGCGCCCACACUGCCCAGCAGUGCGGAGAAGCAGGCUUGUUUUUCCCUGUCACUGGCUUGGAAGAGAUGCUUUGUUCUAGGGAGCCGCAUGUCCCCUUGCCUGCGUUGUUGGUGAGGAGCCAGCAGGCUCCGUGGAGGGCAGGCUAGCAGCCUGGCGCCAGGGAGGCAAGGGUCUGAGUUCCUAGGAGGGUGGUUGCUCAUGUGAGAAGUCUGCAAAGGUUACUACUGAGCACCAUCUCUCUGUCUGAAAAACAUUUUUCAUUUUUCUGUGAACCACUAAGUUUCCCGUUUGGGCUUUCUUCCUGCUUUUGGCUCUUGGUUAGGCAGGCGCAGCCUGAUCCGAGCGUCUGGCUGCUUCCCCAUGUCUUCAGACCUCUUUUUCUGUUCAUGGUGACUAUAGAUGGAACCACACAUUGGAAGCUGGAAACUCAAGCAGUGCAGCCUGUUCCUUACCCCAAUCCCUGUUUUACAAAUGGGGAAAUCAAGGCACAGCAUGGGGUGAUGCUUAUCUGAGGUUGGAAGAGUUAAUAGUAGAGUGGGAGCUAAAACCCAGUUUCUUACCUCCAAGCUCAGGGCUUUCAGCUGUAAUUGAGCCUAGUAUAGUUGGUGUGCAGCAUCAGGGAUUCCAGCUCUAAAGGUCACAAAAAGGACCCGGGGGUCAUUGGCCCAGGGUGGGAACCUGAGCAGAGCAGGUCCAGAUGGUGCACUCUGUGCCCUGGCCUUAGUUUCUUGCUGGAUGCUUUGGCCCGUAGAGCCCCAGAGCCCUGCUUCUAGAACCACUCCAGUGACGUUCAUGCCAAUGGCCUGAACCCCACUGAGCGAGGGUGCCCUGCCUCUUCCACAGCCCUGGGCUCCGCUCAGAUUUUUAGGAGCAAGCGUUAGAGGCCUUGCUUUCUCCAGGGUCAGCAUGUGGACAGAACACUUACUCUCUGCCUGUCUCUCCUCCUCAAAAUGGAAGCAAGACAGUGGGGCCUACAAUGCUAUGAAAAACAGGAUGGGAAGGAAGCCUGCUCUCUGCCUUCCUGCCCAGUGGAACCUGGUGUGUGAGGACGACUGGAAGGCCCCACUCACAAUCUCCUUGUUCUUCGUGGGUGUGCUGUUGGGCUCCUUCAUUUCAGGGCAGCUGUCAGACAGGUAAGGUGUCUGUCUUCUGGAGCACCAGGGGACCUCAGCACUGAGGAAGAAGCGUGUGCCUGGCCCUUGAUUUCAGUUGGUAGUAUUCUUUCAGUGCAAGGCCCUGUAUUUUAAAGAAGAGGAAGCUAUGUCUGUGAUAUAGACUCCAUGCCUAGUAAGAAGAGCCAACAAAUCUGACUCCGUAAUUCUUGCUAAGUAAAGAAACCUGAGCUGUCUAAGCUGAAUGUAUCUGUGAUCCGGUUGACUAGGUAAUAUGCCAUGAUUCACUUCUGCAGUAGCCUGGCUUGCCUCCCCUGGGUCACUGUGACUCUGUCAUGCCCCUGAGCAUGGGAGAGGUUGACAUCAUGCACACAUGCACAUGUGCUAGAUUGUAGAUCUGUAGUAGUGCCAUAGUGUCUGCCUCUGUAGUCCCAAGAAGACCAGCAUUCUCUCUGCAAAGUGAAAGGAGCUCUCACCAGCCACUAGUGGUAUGAAAAGCAGAACUCUUUUGUCCACAAGGCUGAUGCCCCUUAGCUAAGUGGCCUGUGGUUUUGGCAUUUACUUUAUGACAGGAGGGAGAACAGUGUUUUGAUCCAUUUCUUAUAAGCAGGUUAUUUGUAUAAUUCUAAAGCUUUUAACUCAAGGAAACAUUAACGGCUUAGAGAAUCCCAAACCCCUCGAAAUUAUAUGCACAAUGUUAGAGACUACAUGUGAGCAUUUUUUUGGAGAGAGGUCCAUAGCUUUCAUGAAGUUCUUAGAGGGGUCCAUUAUGUUGUGUCUUCUUUCCCUGGAGCUUCAGGGUCUGUCAGAGAAGACUGUGAAGAGAGUAGCAGCCUUCAGCAAGUCCUUGGCCACAUGGCACAUGUGAGAACACCCCACAAAUCGGUGGGUUAGCCGGUGGGAAGGAGUCCCAGCAUCUUCCCUGGUUUUUAAUUCCUGGCCUCAAGCAAUCCUCCCUCCAUAACCUCCCAAAGUGCUGGGAUUACGGGCGUGAGACACCAUGCGCAGCCAGAUAUUUUUUAUUGUUGUUGUUUUUUUUUGAAAAGGAGUUUCACUCUUGUUACCCAGGCUGGAGUGCAAUGGCACGAUCUCGGCUCACUGCAACCUCUGCCUCCCAGGUUCAAGAGAUUCUCCUGUCUCAGCCUCCCGAGUUGCUGGGAUUACAGGCAUGCACCACCAUGCCCAGCUAAUUUUGUAUUUUUAAUAGAGACAAGGUUUCUCCAUGUUGGUCAGGCUGGUCUCAAACUCCCGACCUCAGGUGAUCCACCCACCUCGGCCUCCCAAAGUGCUGGGAUUACAGGCGCGAGCCACUGCACCUGCCCAGCCAGAUUUUUUUUAAAAAGCAGGUUAACCUGUUUAUUAUUCCUAGUUUACAGAUGGAGAAAGUGAAACAGAGGGAUUAAAUAACUUGCCCAAGGUUUCACAGCUGGCAAGUGGCAGAGUUAGGAUUUGGACCCAGGUAGUCUUGCUCCUCUAUUGUGUAUGGACUACUGUUCUAGGUCCCUGCUGUCCUAAAACUUGCUUUCUAGCAAGGUGGAAUGUAUUAAACAACCAAGUGAGGAAGUCGUUGUUGUCCUUGGCCAUGGUAAGAGAUACAGAGAAGUGCAGGGUGCCACAGGAGUGUCUAACAGAGGAGGUCAGGGGCAGCAUCCCUGAGAAGGUGAAGCAUGAGCUGAGAGUGGGAAGAUGAGUCAAAAGUAGCCAGCUGAGGGGUAGAGAGGAGAAAGAACAUCCAGGCAGGGAGAAUAGCAAGUGCUAAAGCCGGGGCUCAUGAAGAGGCAUGGGAGCAGGACAAAGUCCGUGUGGUAGAGGUGCGGAGAGUGGUGUUAAGAUGAAGGGGAGAGGCAGGCAGAGCCCUGGGCAGAUGAGCAACCAGGGCUUAGGGGAUCACAGUUAGGACUUUGGGCUUCAGCCACAGAGCAGCGGUGGGCUACUGAGAUUUUUUAAAGCAAUAGUGUGACAAUCAGAUUUGUCCUUUUUUUUUUUAAAGAUGCUUUGACAACCUUGUGAAGAAAGAAUUGAAGGGAAGCAAAAGGUGUUGUAGAGAGACCAAUUAAAAGGUUGUCACAGUAGUUCAUGCCAGAGAUGAUGGUGGCAUGGCCUAGCAUGACGGUGGUAGAAAUGGAGGGAAGUGGUAAGAGGUAAAAUCAACAAGACUUGCCGAUGGGCUGGAUGUCGGAAUUGAGGGAAGAAAGCUUUCUGGCCUGGGUAACUGGGUGAGUGAAGGUACACUUCUCUAAGACAGAGAAUGCUGGAAAAGAACCACGUUCAUGGAUAUUGAGUUCAAUUUGUGUGUACUAAAUUUGGGGUGACUAUGAGACCCCUAAGUGGAGAAGUAGAGUGUGAAGCUGGCUGUAUGGAUAUGGUACUGCAUGAGAGGUUUUGGCUAGAGAAACACAUGUAGGAUUUGUCAGCAUAUAGAACCCUCAGCAGAGCCCCAGAUAGGGAUGAGGUUGCCUGGGGAGAGGGGAGUGGGGAGGGGAGGGGGGAACUGGGGGAGGAUUGUGCUAUGCUUAGAGGCCUCCUGAGUGGACAUGGGAGAUUCCUUCUCACGGAGCUAAGUGACAGCUACGGCUCAGAAGAAUGCCCUUGAUGUGAAAAGGAGAUACCCCAAGUUCAGAGUAGAAAUGCAGUGUAUUUUUCUGGGUCAGCUGUGUCAUGGGUCAGCUUAAGAACCUUCUUGCCAUGUGACACAAUGAUUACCUGAGGAAAGCAUUUAAGUUCCAAAAGGUCUAUUCCCAGGGAAACUGGAAACAAAAUUUGUGAGUGUGUUUAGGACCACUUUAGUCUACAGAAGGGCUAAUAUAGUGUUUUUCAAACCUUUCUAAACAUUUUGGCCACAGAACUUUCAUUAAAGUGGGAUAAUUUAAGUCUAGUAAAUGAAAUACACCCUAAGUGGCUAAAAGUAUGGCUGUUCUGCCUGCAGCCCCUGCCUUCAAUUCCCAAUGCCCUGCCUCAAGCCUGUCUGUGCCCCCUUGGAAGGCCCAGGGCCCUGUGGGAUGGACAACUUCUGAGUGCAUUACUUCUGAGUAAACCAGUUCUAAAACCUAAGCUAAAUAGAUUACCUGAAAGCAAUCAAUUCAUGCCCUAACUUGUCUAGGACAUCAAUGUAACUUUUUAUAUAGUAUAAAGGUUUCACCUUCUUUCUGGCCUAUGAAUAUAUCUGAAAUUCAAGAGCAAUUAAAGUACUCCUGGGUUGUCAAAGCCCUUUAUGUGACACUAUUGAGUUAUCUUUAUGCGUCUGACUUGUAAGAGAUGCACAACUCUAGGAAGAAGUAGACUGCUGUAUCCUGUUUCCAGGUAUGUGUGUGUUUGCCAUUUUGUUGACAGACUUUAAAAGCAAACAUUUCUGGCCCCAACCCUGAACUGCCAAGGACUGGUGCUAUGUAAAGGGUUCUCUGGAUCUGUCUCUUCCCUACCAUCCCAGGGAGCUCUUAGGAAGGGAAAGGGCAUAGAGAUUAUACCAGCCUGCCUUGUGGUUAGGAACCACCCCUUGGUUGGCAUAUAGAACACGCUUGUUAAAAAAAACCAUGCAGGGGAAAGUAGAGUCUACUACCAGGCGAGAGUUUCUCAACCUCGACCCUAUUAACAUUUUGAGCCAAAUAAUUUUGUUCUAGGGCAUUUUCCUGGGCAUUUUAGAAUAUUUAACAACAUAUCUGGCCUCUACUCAUUAGAUGCCAGUGAACCCCAAGUGAUGGAAAAAAAAAAAACAACAACAGAAAAAAACCUCUUAUAUUGAGGAAAAACACCAAACUCUUCCACAUAGUUGCAAGACCUUGUGCAAUUUGCCUCCUAGCCACCACUGUACUCUUGAAUUGCACGCCUGUUGCCAACCACACUGGUUCCUCAUGUUCACCAUGCCCCCUCCAGCCAUGGGGGUGUGUGGUCUUCUCAGAGUCUGAAGCAUUCCCCACCCACCCCAACCCACCCCCUGUGGCCUUCUUUAACCAUGCUGGCUAAUUCAGGAUCCCUAGUUCCUUAUGACUUUCCUUUAUAACGUCUACCAGAAAUUGGGGGAAAAGAAGUGUUAUUAUAGGAUUAAUGUUGGUCUUCCCCACUAUACUGUGAAUAUCAUUGAGAGCUUGGUCCCUACACCUUAAAUCCCCCAUUGUCAACUAUUUUUUCCCAUCUCAGUGUCCCAUGAUCAAGGAGACCCUCCCUGAAUGUCCAGUUCCCCAACACUUACCCCCAGUCCAGGGUAGCUUCCUUCCUUGUGCCUCUCAUGAACCUGCAUGCCGAUCCUUCAGUGCACUUGACUCAGUGUGUAAUUGUAUAUUCAGUAGGGUGUUGUUAGAUUAAAAUGUGGUUAAUAUGUGUUUCACAAGUUAUACUAUGACACUCCUUAAGGGCAGAAACAGCAUCUUUUUUCAUUUAUUGAUAUCCAAGUGCCCUCUAUAAUAGAUGCUCAAUAAACAUUGAGUGAAAAUGGGUGUCAGCCAGUACUGGCCAGACUCAAACUGAACCCACUGCUUCCCACUAGCUUGACUUUUUCCUCCUGUUUGUGGCACUCUCUUUAAAACAAACCAAAAUAAACCCAAUUUUAAAAACUUUUUAAAAUGAGCACGGAUACAGAAAACCACACAGAACAAAUGUGUAGCUUAAUGAAUUUUUUUCAGAGAAAUAACCUUAUGACCACCACCAAGUCAAGCAGUAGAACUUUGCUGUCCACUAAGAAGCCCUGUCCAUGUGCCCCAUCCCAAUUACAGCAUCCUCUCUCUCUCUCCCCAUUAAGUAACCACUAGCCUGACUCCUGUAAUAAUCACUUCCUUGUGAGUUUUUUUAGUUUUAUUAUCGGAAUAUGCAUCCUUGACACAAAUUUAGUGUUGCCCACUUAAUAUAUUUGAUGUCUUUUAGUCUACUUAAUCUAUGGAUUCUCCUUCUAUCGCCUUCUAUGCCUUACUGAUUAUCUAUGAAGAACCUGAGCUGUUCCACCUAUAGAAUUUCUCAGUCUGGAUUUGUUGAUUGCACACUGAUGAUGCAGUUCAGCACAUUCCUCUAUGCUCUGCAUUUCCUCAAAAUUGGCAGUUGGAUCCAGAGACUUGAGAUUCAGGUUCUGAUUCAGGUUCAGUCCUUUUGGCAAGACCAUAGGAAGCAUGCAAUGCCUGACUGUCUCUUUAUGAUGUUAACAGUAAUUAGUAUAUAAUGCAUAGAUCUAUUAAUCCAUUGGGGGCUAUAAAUGGUAUUAUUCUAAUUUUAUUACCUUUUCAUUUAAAAGUUAGAAUACUUUUGUACAUGAUACUACCUCUUAUCUAUUAUUGGUUGCUGUUCACAUAGUUUACAAAGGAAAAUCAGGACAAAUGCUUCUUUCUCUUUAUUUGCCAGUUUUCAUUUAUAAUGAAUUGUUUCUCUGUUAUUCUCCAAAUUUGGCAGAUUCUUUUUUUAAAAAAAAUAUCAUUAUGAAUGUAUGGAUUAAAUAAUUGAUGUAUUUCAGUCUCUUGCAAUCAUUAUCAUAAUUGUAGCAUUGCUUUUUAGGCAACCCUGGUACCCAGGCUGUACAUUUGUCAUGGGGAGUGGGGAGGGGGAGAAAUAGCAUGGACACUGUGAGACCGAGACUGUCCCUGGCAGCCAGUAUUCUGGCAACACUGUUCACACCCACUUACUGGAUGGAUCUUGGGAAAGCCCCACUUGGUGGAGCCCAUUCCUGCUGCCCUUUUCCAGCUGGUUAUCUGUCACUCUCCUUUUCUUCCCAGGUUUGGCCGGAAGAAUGUGCUGUUCGUGACCAUGGGCAUGCAGACAGGCUUCAGCUUCCUGCAGAUCUUCUCGAAGAAUUUUGAGAUGUUUGUCGUGCUGUUUGUCCUUGUAGGCAUGGGCCAGAUCUCCAACUAUGUGGCAGCAUUUGUCCUGGGGACAGAAAUUCUUGGCAAGUCAGUUCGUAUAAUAUUCUCUACGUUAGGAGUGUGCAUAUUUUAUGCAUUUGGCUACAUGGUGCUGCCACUGUUUGCUUACUUCAUCCGAGACUGGCGGAUGCUGCUGGUGGCGCUGACGAUGCCGGGGGUGCUGUGCGUGGCACUCUGGUGGUUCAUCCCUGAGUCCCCCCGAUGGCUCAUCUCUCAGGGACGAUUUGAAGAGGCAGAGGUGAUCAUCCGCAAGGCUGCCAAAGCCAAUGGGAUUGUUGUGCCUUCCACUAUCUUUGACCCGAGUGAGUUACAAGACCUAAGUUCCAAGAAGCAGCAGUCCCACAACAUUCUGGAUCUGCUUCGAACCUGGAAUAUCCGGAUGGUCACCAUCAUGUCCGUAAUGCUGUGGAUGACCAUAUCAGUGGGCUAUUUUGGGCUUUCGCUUGAUACUCCUAACUUGCAUGGGGACAUCUUUGUGAACUGCUUCCUUUCAGCGAUGGUUGAAGUCCCAGCAUAUGUGUUGGCCUGGCUGCUGCUGCAAUAUUUGCCCCGGCGCUAUUCCAUGGCCACUGCCCUCUUCCUGGGUGGCAGUGUCCUUCUCUUCGUGCAGCUGGUACCCCCAGACUUGUAUUAUUUGGCUACAGUCCUGGUGAUGGUGGGCAAGUUUGGAGUCACGGCUGCCUUUUCCAUGGUCUACGUGUACACAGCCGAGCUGUAUCCCACAGUUGUGAGAAACAUGGGUGUGGGAGUCAGCUCCACAGCAUCCCGCCUGGGCAGCAUCCUGUCUCCCUACUUCGUUUACCUUGGUGCCUACGACCGCUUCCUGCCCUACAUUCUCAUGGGAAGUCUGACCAUCCUGACAGCCAUCCUCACCUUGUUUCUCCCAGAGAGCUUCGGUACCCCACUCCCGGACACCAUUGACCAGAUGCUAAGAGUCAAAGGAAUGAAACACAGAAAAACUCCAAGUCACACAAGGAUGUUAAAAGAUGGUCAAGAAAGGCCCACAAUCCUUAAAAGCACAGCCUUCUAACAUCGCCUCCAGUAAGGGAGAAACUGAAGAGGAAAGACUGUCUUGCCAGAAAUGGCCAGCUUGUGCAGACUCCGAGUCCUUCAGUGACAAAGGCCUUUGCUGUUUGUCCUCUUGACCUGUGUCUGACUUGCUCCUGGAUGGGCACCCACACUCAGAGGCUACAUAUGGCCCUAGAGCACCACCUUCCUCUAGGGACACUGUGGCUACCUACAGACAACUUCAUCUAAGUCCUAACUAUUACAAUGAUGGACUCAGCACCUCCAAAGAAGUUAAUUUUUCACUAGAACCAGUGAGAUCUGGAGGAAUGUGAGAAGCAUAUGCUAAAUGUACAUUUUAAUUUUAGACUACUUGAAAAGACCCCUAAUAAGGCUAGAGGUCUAAGUCCCCCACCCCUUUCCCCACUCCCCUCUAGUGGUGAAAUUUAGAGGAAAAGGAAGUAAUUGCACAAGGAGUUUGAUUCUUACCUUUUCUCAGUUACAGAGGACAUUAACUGGAUCAUUGCUUCCCCAGGGCAGGAGAGCGCAGAGCUAGGGAAAGCGAAAGGUAAUGAAGAUGGAGCAGAAUGAGCAGAUGCAGAUCACCAGCAAGUGCACUGAUGUGUGAGCUCUUAAGACCACUCAGCAUGACGACUGAGUAGACUUGUUUACAUCUGAUGAAAGCACUGGGCUUGUCCAGGCUCAUACUAAAUGCUCCAUUGAAUCUACUAUUCUUGUUUUCCACUGCUGUGGAAACCUCCUUGCUACUAUAGCGUCUUAUGUAUGGUUUAAAGGAAAUUUAUCAGGUGAGAGAGAUGAGCAACGUUGUCUUUUCUCUCAAAGCUGUAAUGUGGGUUUUGUUUUAUUGUUUAUUUGUUUGUUGUUGUAUUCUUUUCUCCUUAAGUUAUUUGCCCUUCAGAAUGCACUUGGGAAAGGCUGGUUCCUUAGCCUCCUGGUUUGUGUCUUUUUUUUUUUUUUUUUUUUAAACACAGAAUCACUCUGGCAAUUGUCUGCAGCUGCCACUGGUGCACGGCCUUACCAGCCCUAGCCUCUAGCACUUCUCUAAGUGCCAAAAACAGUGUCAUUGUGUGUGUUCCUUUCUUGAUACUUAGUCAUGGGAGGAUAUUACACAAAAGAAAUUUAAAUUAUGUUCAUAGUCUUUCAGAGUAGCUCACUUUAGUCCUGUAACUUUAUUGGGUGAUAUUUUGUGUUCAGUGUAAUUGUCUUCUCUUUGCUGAUUAUGUUACCAUGGUACUCCUAAAGCAUAUGCUUCACCUGGUUAAAAAAGAACAAACAUGUUUUUGUGAAAGCUACUGAAGUGCCUUGGGAAAUGAGAAAGUUUUAAUAAGUAAAAUGAUUUUUUAAAUA
rnacentral:sRNA from 1 species